rnacentral:antisense_RNA from 1 species
UUAUAUGGUGGUCAUGCGCGGGGCUCCCUUGCGGGCGCCGGGUUCUAGUGCGACCGGUCUACCAACCCGCGUGUGGCCGCCACCCUU